GGAAAGCACUGUGGGUGAUGUCCUUGAGCAUCUCAUGGAGAAGGUGAAACUUUCUCGUCCAAAUGCAGAGCUAAGGCUUCUGGAAGUAUUAUCGCACAAGAUCUAUAAGAUAUAUCCUAACAGUGAUAAGAUCGCAGCAAUAAAUGACAAUCGUUGGACUUUACGACCAAAGGAGGUUCCAGAGGUAGAGAAAUUUCUUGGCCCAAGUAAAUGUUUGAUUCAUGUGUGUCACUUCAUGCAUGAGGAUGCUCAAAACC